rnacentral:rRNA from 1 species
CCUACGGGUGGCAGCAGUAGGGAAUCUUCCGCAAUGGGCGCAAGCCUGACGCAGCAACGCCGCGUGAAGGAAGAAGGCUUUCGGGUUGUAAACUUCUGUUCUCAGGGACGAAGAAAGUGACGGUACAUGAUGAAUAACCCACGGCUAACUACGUACCAUCAGCCGCGGUAAUACGUAGGUGGCAAGCGUUAGACGGAUUUAUUGGGUGUAAAGUGCGGGUAGGCGGGAUCGCAAGUCAGAUGUGAAAACGCAGGGCUCAACCCUGAGCCUGCAUUGGAAACUGUGUUUCUUGAGUGCUGGAGAGGCAAGUGGAAUUCCGUGUGUAGCGGUGAAAUGCGUAGAUAUAUGGAGGAACACCAGUGGCGAAGGCGGAUUGCUGGACAGUAACUGACGCUGAGGCGCGAAAGCGUGGGGAGCAAACAGGAUUAGAUACCCGGGUAGUC